ACGCGACCUGUGACCAUGGUGGCUGUGCUGGGCGGCCGGGGCGUGUUGCGCCUGCGGCUGCUGCUCUCAGCGCUGAAGCCCGGGAUCCACGUCCCACGGGCCGGACCCGCGGCCGCGUUCGGCACCUCGGUAACCUCUGCCAAAGUGGCUGUGAAUGGCGUUCAGCUGCAUUACCAGCAGACUGGAGAGGGAGAUCACGCAGUCCUGCUACUUCCUGGGAUGUUAGGAAGUGGAGAGACUGAUUUUGGACCUCAGCUCAAGAACCUCAAUAAGAAGCUCUUCACGGUGGUCGCCUGGGAUCCUCGAGGCUAUGGACAUUCCAGGCCCCCAGAUCGCGAUUUCCCAGCAGACUUUUUUGAAAGGGAUGCAAAAGAUGCUGUUGAUUUGAUGAAGGCGCUGAAGUUUAAGAAGGUUUCUCUGCUGGGGUGGAGUGAUGGGGGCAUAACCGCACUCAUUGCUGCUGCAAAAUAUCCGUCUUACAUCCACAAGAUGGUGAUCUGGGGUGCCAACGCCUACGUCACUGACGAAGACAGCAUGAUAUAUGAGGGCAUCCGAGAUGUUUCUAAAUGGAGUGAGAGAACAAGAAAGCCUCUAGAAGCCCUCUAUGGGUGUGACUACUUUGCCAGAACCUGUGAAAAGUGGGUGGAUGGCAUAAGACAGUUUAAACGUCUCCCAGAUGAUGGAGUCUCACUCUGUCACCAGGCUGGAAUGCAAUGGCAUGAUCUCAGCUCACUGCAAUCUCUGUCUCCUGGGUUCAAGCGAUUGCUCUGCCUCAGCCUCCCAAGUAGCUGGGACCACAGGCGUGCACCACCACGCAGGCACAUUUUUUUGUAUUUUAGUAGAGACAGGGUUUCACCAUGUUGGCCAGGAUGGCCUUGAUCUCCUGACCUCGUGAUCCGCCCACCUUGGCCCUCCCAAUUGCUGGGAUUACAGGCCUGAGACACCGUGCCCAGCCUCCUAUUCUUUAUCUGAAAAAUUAACAAGAUUUCCAGUUAAAGUAAGAAUUGACAUCUUUAAGAGAAAUUCUGAAUUAUAGUUUAUUUUCAUACAACUAUUUAUGUUUAUAAUCUCAUUUUUUUUUAAUUGCUGAGAAAAUAGAGUAGCUAAGAUCUAAUCUUGGAGUGCACUGUUACAAAAUGGUUGUGAUUGAAGGACCAAUUUGAUCUAUUAGGUAAUCAUUUCCUGCAUGAAUCAUCUGCCAAAACUUUCACAAUGAAAAGGACAUUUGGAAAUGUUACGCUUCUGGUUUGAGUUGAAAACAGCAAAUAUAUCAAAUGUAUGCCUUAUAAUGUUUCUGUUCAGAUGCAGCAUCCACCCAUGGAGACAGGCCCUGGAAAUCUCUGCUCUUAAAACAAAAACAUGCCAUGAAACAAUGUUUGAGACAGUUCUCCAUUAAAGAGGGCACAUUUGUAAAAUGUAAACUUUGAUGUUUUGUUGAAGAGAGUAGUGAAAAGACAGGAAGAUUUAAAGGUGGAAAUAGGGUUAAAUCAGCAAUUCAAAAAUACGUUCAUGAUACAGAGGCUGUAGCAGUGUAUAAACUGUCUCACAGCGAGACCCUUCAUGAUGUGUCCCCCUUCUGUGCUGACUCAUUUGGUAGGAGCCCUUUUUUCCUACUGUCCUCUCAGGUUUAUGGAUGCUUGGCAUAGUGUAGGGAUUCAUUGCAUUGCACGGCUCUGGAGUGCGAUGGGCCUGAGUGUGAGUUCUGCCUGUGCCCCCGGCUUGCUGUUAGAAUGGAUCUGGGCAGGUAACUUAGCUUCUUGAAGCUUUGGUUUCCUAUCUGUGACCUCGAAAAGCUGUUGUUGCGGGGAUUAAAUGAGGUGUUACCUAUUCAGCUUUGGUGCAGGAUCAAAGACAGAGUGUCUAAUGAAAGGUUGGUAUUACUGUUAUUACAAAAGUACUUAAUGAACAAACAUUUUUAUAUGCUGAAUGAGUUAAAACAUGUAACUACUGUGUUUAACAGAUACGAAAUUGUUUAAACAGUUGCUGGCACAAAGUGAGCACUCAGGCAUAUUGACUUUGAUCAUCACGUGAUGAUGCAGUUGGCCGGUGUGUGUCAUCUCGGGACAGGAGAGGGAAGUGUCAGAGACCUGGAGGAGUAUUUCCCUAGUCAACGGGCCCGCUUCUCACUUAGCAGGCAGCGACUUCCCACUGAAGAGGAGGGAAAGGCCUGGGGCCCGUGCCGGGCAGGGGAGCACUGCACCGUCGGGGCAGCUCCCAGCCUUCUCAGAGCUGCGGUGCCUUCCUCUUGACACGCACGGAGAGGGAAUGGAGAAGGAAAGAGCCAGCUUAGGGAUGCCGGGAACCGCAGACGCAACUCUCUUUUUAGCCCCACAACAGCCCCGGGGAACUGUGAUUGUUCCUGUUUGUGGCUGAAGCUCCCAGUGGUUAAGGAGCCACCACAGCCUCACAGAGGCAGGAAACUGCAGUACAGGGACUAGGGCCCAGGCUGUCCAUCAUUGCCUCAGGAAAGUUCUCAUAAAUGGGGGUAAGUCCGUACAGUCUCUCCAAAGUAUGUUAGUCAGGAGUGUCACAGACGCAUCAGCGAUAAGGAGAAGCUGCUUUGCCGUGCGCAAGUUGUAUAAUUAAUUCCUUGUGAGGCUCACAUGCUUUGAGGGCUGGCCGGGGCCCCUACACUCAUCCGAAACGUGAUUUCCAGGGAAAAGGUGUACAGGUGUCAAGCACCUACCACUGUUUUCACGGUGGGAACCGCCACUGUGGAAUAUAGUGGUGGGGUGUUUAUUUGAUUUUCCUACUAUUUUACGCGAAUUUAAAUCAGGCUGCUUAUUUACUAGUAGAACUCAGAAACAGGCAAGCAAACAAACAAGAAACAGAGAGAAACAGAAAAGGGAACCCAAAGAAUGUUAGAGCUGGAAGGAAUCCCAGGCAUGGUCAAAUCCAAAACGCAGUUUUUACGGAUAGGGAAACUGAGGGCCAAGGAGGGGCAGGGCUCGCUGAGUUUCGCCUCCUCUGACCGCGUAGAAUGGUUGCACUAAAGCAGAUUCCUCGUGCUGUGUAUCCGUCAGGUAACAUCUGCCGGCACCUGCUGCCCCGGGUCCAGUGCCCCGCCUUGAUUGUGCACGGUGAGAAGGAUCCUCUGGUCCCGCGGUUUCAUGCCGACUUCAUUCAUGAGCACGUGAAAGGUUCACGGCUGCAUUUGAUGCCAGAAGGCAAACACAACCUGCAUUUGCGUUUUGCAGAUGAAUUCAACAAGUUAGCAGAAGACUUCCUACAAUGAGAAUGCACACUCGAGUCUUGGUGGUUCCUUCGUGUGGGGCUUGAUCGUGUUGCUGCCUGUUAACAUGAUGCCUUUGAAACUCUCCGCCUUUGAAACUUUCUACCCCUCCCUUCAAUCUUAUCCUAACCAAAUGAGAAUAAUGACAUAUUGAAAACAGCCUCUAGCUUCAGGCUGGGCACGGUGGCUCACAGCUAUAAUCUCAGCACUUUGGGAGGCUGAGGUGGGAGAAUUGCCUGAGCCCAGGAGUUCAAGACCAGCUUAUGCAAUAUAGGGAGACUCUGGCUCUACAAAAAAAAGUUUUUCAAAAUUAGCCAGGCGAAGUGGCACACAUCUGUGGUCCCAGCUGCUCAGGAAGCUGAGGUGGGAGGAUCAGUUGAGCCCAAUUCAAGGCUGCAGUGAGCUGUAAUUGCAUCACUGCACUCCAACCUGGGCAACAGAGUAAGACCUUGUCUUAAAAAAAAAUAAAAACAUAAAAAAAAAAUAAAAAA
rnacentral:sRNA from 1 species